rnacentral:rRNA from 1 species
GCAGAUGCGGGGCUAGGAGGCGGGGGAAUGCGUAGGUGGCGAGCGGUAUCCGGAAAUACUUGGCGGAAGGCGGACUGAGGCUGCGCAGUAAUUUAGGCGUGAAAUCUCCUGGCUUAAGUGGGAGGGGUCUGUGGAAGCUGAUGUGCUUGAGGCGGUGAUAGGGGUGUAGAAUUCCCGGUGUAGUGGUGGAAUGCGUAGAUAUCGGGAGGAACACCAGUGGCGAAAGCGGCUCUCUGGUCCACACCUGACGCUCAGGUGCGAAAGCGUGGGUAGCGAACGGGAUUAGAUACCCUAGUAGUC